UCUAGUAGCUGGUUUCCUCCGAAGUUUCCCUCAGGAUAGCUGGAGCUUUUUAGUUUUAUCGGGUAAAGCGAAUGAUUAGUGGCCUCGGGGAUGUAACAUCCUCGACCAAUUCUCAAACUUUAAAUAGGUAAGAGUCGCGGUUGCCUAAUCGAACCGUGGCGUUAAAUACAAGCUCCAAGUGGGCCAUUUUUGGUAAGCAGAACUGGCGAGGCGGGAUGAACCGAAAGUCAAGUUACGGUGCCAAACUUCACGCUAACCUAGAUCCCACAAAGGGUGUUGGUCGAUUAAGACAGCAGGACGGUGGUCAUGGAAGUCGAAAUCCGCUAAGGAGUGUGUAACAACUCACCUGCCGAAUGUACUAGCCCUGAAAAUGGAUG
rnacentral:rRNA from 1 species